AACAGGAAACACCUGCAGUCAGGUUGGUCACAUGACUCCAGUUAGCUCCUGUUAG
ensembl:miRNA